AGCGAACGCUGGCGGUAGGCCUAACACAUGCAAGUCGAACGGCAGCACAGGAGAGCUUGCUCUCUGGGUGGCGAGUGGCGGACGGGUGAGGAAUACAUCGGAAUCUGCUCUGUCGUGGGGGAUAACGUAGGGAAACUUACGCUAAUACCGCAUACGACCUACGGGUGAAAGCAGGGGAUCUUCGGACCUUGCGCGAUUGAAUGAGCCGAUGUCGGAUUAGCUAGUUGGCGGGGUAAAGGCCCACCAAGGCGACGAUCCGUAGCUGGUCUGAGGGGAUGAUCAGCCACACUGGAACUGAGACACGGUCCAGACUCCUACGGGAGGCAGCAGUGGGGAAUAUUGGACAAUGGGCGCAAGCCUGAUCCAGCCAUACCGCGUGGGUGAAGAAGGCCUUCGGGUUGUAAAGCCCUUUUGUUGGGAAAGAAAUCCAGCUGGCUAAUACCCGGUUGGGAUGACGGUACCCAAAGAAUAAGCACCGGCUAACUUCGUGCCAGCCGCCGCGGUAA
rnacentral:rRNA from 1 species